AGUGAACGCUGGCGGUAGGCCUAACACAUGCAAGUCGAACGGCAGCACAGUAAGAGCUUGCUCUUACGGGUGGCGAGUGGUGGACGGGUGAGGAAUACAUCGGAAUCUACUUUUUCGUGGGGGAUAACGUAGGGAAACUUACGCUAAUACCGCAUACGACCUACGGGUGAAAGCAGGGGAUCUUCGGACCUUGCGCGAUUGAAUGAGCCGAUGUCGGAUUAGCUAGUUGGCGGGGUAAAGGCCCACCAAGGCGACGAUCCGUAGCUGGUCUGAGAGGAUGAUCAGCCACACUGGAGCUGAGACACGGUCCAGACUCCUACGGGAGGCAGCAGUGGGGAAUAUUGGACAAUGGGCGCAAGCCUGAUCCAGCCAUACCGCGUGGGUGAAGAAGGCCUUCGGGUUGUAAAGCCCUUUUGUUGGGAAAGAAAAGCAGCAGGUUAAUACCCCGCUGUUCUGACGGUACCCAAAGAAUAAGCACCGGCUAACUUCGUG
rnacentral:rRNA from 1 species